rnacentral:tRNA from 1 species
CCGGUAGCUCAGGCGGUUAGAGCGCACGCCUGAUAAGCGUGAGGUCGGAGGUUCAAGUCCUCCUCGACC